UCCCUCCCUUCCUCAGGCCAGUGUUCUCCAAUCUGCACCCACAAAGGGAGUCGAGAACCCCAGGUCCCGGACGCCCCCGGUCACCCGGGUCUGCUGCUGACCUCGCCCUUCCCAUCUCCGCAGGGUCCCCCCCGAAUCCCCAGCGGCUCCGGCCUCGGCACACCGGGUCCUCGGCGGCCCCCUCCCCCAGCGGCAGCCUCGGCUCCAGAGCCGUCCCCGCAGAUGCGAGCAGCAGCCGCGCGGGGGCGCCCCCGCCAUCUGGAUGGGCAGAGCGUUGCCUUGGCCGGCAGGCCUCGUGGGGACAGACCUCUCCUGAGUGGCUCCCUGUCAAAGGCUCUGGCCGCGCCGGCGGGGGACCGGGUCGUGCAGGAGGCAGACGACGGCCGGCCGCCCUGUGCACGUGAGGACACGGGAGGAUAAAGUCUGAGACGCUGCGUGUGUUCUGACAGUUCUGGUGAUGACAUGGGCUCUGAGACACGGCUUCUAGAAGAGGAAGGAGGACCGCUCGGGCUGGUCAUGAGAGGGCCUGAGAAGAUGCUCAGGGUCCCCUGCGAGGAAGGCGGGUCCUGUUCAGGAAGGUCUGGAGGCUGAGCCGCAAGAGGUGGAACGGAGACCAGCCUUUCAAAUGGUCUUGACCUGACUUGAUGGUCAUUCACUCUUUUCCGAAUGGAAGUGGAGGGGAGCUGUCCCCACCGAGGGCGGGCUGGGACUCGAACUGACAGGGGAUUCGCUCUUGACUGCCGAGCCAAGGGGUCUCCAGUGCUGAGUUAAAUGACCUCUCUAAGGGGCGAGGAAGUUCUGGAGAGAAAAGUUUCUUUGCUGAGCUGAAUGCGCCUUCUCUGGAAACCAAAGAUAAAUGAUGCAAACCCUUGCUUCCUGGUGAGAAGCUGCUCUUUGCUGAGGCCCUAACACCCCCCUCUGCCGCUUUAGGAACAAACCCGGAUGGAUGAACCCCUGACUCGCGGGUGUGGGGACACCGGGGUGGCUCAAGAUUUCAAGAUUGCGGCUCUGGCUGAGAGACCCCACGGCAUGCUGAGGGCCAGGCACAAGCGAGCACCUCCCCACCCUGUGGGAUAUGUGGUGUUCGUCAGGCACUCCUGGCUGCCCAGGGACAAAAGAAAAGAAAGAAAACAAACGGCUAACUGGUAGGGAUCACAGUCAUGCAGGACACGGAGUCUCCAUCAGUUUACAAAUACCCUGUAAAUUACAAGACAACGGUGAUCUCAUCUCCUGAAGCCUGUGGACUCCGUUCCCUGGAUCUCCAGUAUCACUGUCCCCUCCAGAGUGAUGUGGGAACACAGGCAAGAAGGAAAUGGCAGUUAAAAUUAAGUUUCCUCAACACCCGCAGCCCAUGGACAGGCUCCUGAGGCAAAUACCCAGUGGAACAUUUCUCCAGGAACCUCCUCUCGUCCUGAGGUGGACGCCCGGCUAGUAGCUUGGCAACGGCGUGGCCUCCAGGAUCUUAGGGUCCUCUUCGCACAUCAGAGUCCCUCGGGAGGCCUCCCUUUUGGCUCUACCUCCCCAAGUCCAUAUUCUUUUUUUUUUUUUGAAAUUUUAUUUAUUUAUUUUUUACUUUAUAAAGUUUCAUAUUUUUUAACAUAUGCAAUUAUUUUCCAUCAUUUACAAUACAGUAGUUACAAUGACACUCCAAACAGAAAAGCAAAGUAAAAAAUUAAAACACCAACUUCUGUUUCAUGUAAUUAGACUUAUACAGAAAUUGGAAGGUUAAGUAACAACUAGUUAAUCACCUAAUUUCACAGCUAUCUGAAGUGGCAAUCGUUAUAUAGCAGCUUAUCUAUGAUACAUUCAAGAUAAAUAAUACAAUUUAUUACUUGUUCAU
rnacentral:lncRNA from 1 species